UACAAGAGGGUAAGAGACACUCCCUGGUAGGCCAAAGACCAAAGCAAUAGUAAUUCAUGUGGUACUUAGACUUCUCCCAAGCUUGAUCCUUCGUGCGGGUACCUCACACUUAGUUCGAGCCAUUUGAUUUGUUGGUGCAUCCUUCCAGUACCUUUGCUUUCCACGCUCCCAGUAAAUAAAACAAUUGGCACUACAAAAAACGCUCAGAAACAGUGUUGCUUGUUCCCCUCCAUCUUCAAGGACAACAAGUAAGUUUUCUCUUCCCUUCGUCCUUUCCUCACCCCAGCAACCGCUUUUUCCUCUUUCAUCUCUCUUCUUUUAUUUUUCUUCUUUCUUUAGGUUACUUUGUGUUGUAAGUUGAGUAGGGUAUAAAUUCGGGAAAUUAAGGGAUUAAUGGGUCUUGUUUGGGUGAUUAUUGAAUUAAAUUAGGUAAAAAACUAUAAUGUUUACCGCCUCACUUAAACUGGCAAGCAAAGAACAAAGUACGCACAUAAUAUGUUUGAUAAAAUGCCUAAGUGACUUUUUUAAUGAGUUUUGUGAAUUCCGAGUAGCGACCUUCUUCUGAUGGUAAAGCGAGCAGCUCUUAAGUGUGGGGUGGCUGUUUGGGAGUUCAUGAAUAUAAAUUACAUACAAUUUUUUAUGAGUGUCAACCCACAACCGAUUUAGGAACGACUCAUGUGUCGCCUUUACCCACUUGGUUUUAACUUAUGCUAAACGAACUUGUUUGUGUAAGACUAUGUUGUAGUAGCCCCUCAUGCCUAACAUUGCACACCUACGCUCAAGAGCGAAGUGUGGGGUGCAGUGCGGGGCGCACUACUAUGACUUGUUAAUGCAAGUUGAAUUAACAUUGAUUCAUUGCUCUUUUCAGUUAUCAUUUGCAGUAUCUAAAACACCAAACCACAAUCAUGGUGUGAAAGAAGAUGUAAACCCCUCCUAAAAUAGACGUUAAGUGAUAAGAAUGACCCCUCAAAGGAAAGCAAGUAAGUCAGAACUAAACAAAAUCAUGAAAAUGUGCAAAAAAGAAACUCUGAAGUGGAUACAAGGAAACCACAUAGAGCAUUAAGCAGUCCAUACAGACACAACAAAGCACGCCACAAUCACGGACAUCUAAGAAGAGAGAGGUUCCAUUUAAAAUUCAAGGAGCUUCAAAAGUCUCCUUUGGCUAAAAAGAGAAAGAUUGCGAAUGUACAAGGGAAGGAAAGGAACCAAACAUGGUUGAGUAAGAGUUUCAUUCUCACCCACUGAUGAUGAGCUUGUUAUUCCACCGCUAGAGGAUGUUGGGGGGGAAGCUAAGUGCUCUGGCUGAAAAAUCUGUAGGGGGAAAGAACUUUGUGAGCGUACAUACAUGCAAGUUCUGGGACAACAUAUGACAAAAGCGGGUGCUCCCUCAAUUGUUUGAGAGGCCACUGAAUUUUGAUGCUACUAAGAACUUGCUAGAAUAUAGUUACAAAGAUAGAAGAGGGAGGCUGGUUACGAUUUGCUCAGGGACCAAAGGGCAAGGCAAACUUGACUAUCAUACGAUAAUUAUAUGCUAAAUUGGAUCCAAACCAUGGCGACAUUUUGUGGCUUCAUGGAGUAAAGUGGAUAUUUUAGCUGUAGCCACAAACAGGUACUGCAAAGCAAAUAAUCAGGCGAUUAUAGAUUAGAAAGAGUAAAAACUUGAUUUACCGUCAGAGACGGGUCCAAGAUUUGAAGAUUGCGGUCGACACUAUACACAUAUUUAUAUAGAGACCUACCACUAGCCAGAAAGACCGAAUCGGAAGAAUGGAUGAUUCAAUUAAUUGAUUAUGAAAUAAGAUAUAAUUGUAGGAAGCAAAAUGAAUGCUAAUAUAAAGAAAUUUAAAAAAGAGAAAGAAGACAAAUUUAACACAAAAAAGAAAGGAUAAGAAUGCUGUUGUCGAGAAAUUGAACCCGGAUUCGUGCAGUACAUUAGAGACUUCAAACGCAUUGUUUGAACCAUGGCACCGACAUGCAAUUUGUGUAAUUCGGGUGCCUUUUUUUUUAAUGUAUAUAUAAAAAUAGCUCAAUUUUCAUAAAAUAUUAACAUAUUUAUUAAGAAUUGUUGUCGAAGCGUACGGGUGGUAUGCCACCCUGAUCCGACAAAGUAGAUCCGCCCCUGUUUACCGUGAAUACUUGAGACUUUUUGGGUAAGUUAAACAAGUCAGGUCAUGAAAAAAACAAACAUAAACAAGGGGGCCAAAACUUGAUUGAGCUGGAUAUGCAACAUAUGGAUGCCAGCAACACAUAAGACAAUUGUGAUAUGGGAGCAUGUAUUUAUAAUAUAAGUGUUAAUGACUCGUAUCUAUGUGAAUGUUGGAAAGAUGAUGCGCAUCGCAGAUAGAUGGCUAGGACCUUUAACAACAUGCAAUGGGGACUUUACUUUAUGCACAUCCUAACUGCAAAGCUGGAGAAGUACAAGCUGACUAAGAAGGGUGAUAAGUUGUUGGAUGUGCAUGAUAUGGCGCUUCAUGACAUGUGCUCUGUCCAAUACCCGAAUAAAGAGGACCUCCAAAAGAAAAGUUCAUGGGGUUUGUAUCACAGUUGUGGAGAAUGAACUCCAGCACUUGAGACUUGAGAGUGGUCUUAGAGGCACAUGAUCGUGUUAUGUUAACUGCAGCAGAGACUCGGUACCAUUGGAUACAGUCGCACAUAUGAUCGUUAUAUUUAAGAAGGCAUUGUUGACACGAGUCAUUUGAUUGCACACAGAUUCAGAGGAGCAGCAGAGGAUGGAGCUGAUUAGCCAAAAACAAUUUUUGCUACUAAGAAGGUGAUUGAGGCUUUAGUGGAGGUGAUUACGAUUGGACGCUCUUCUACCAGGGAGGGUGAGAUGCCUGAGGUCGUAGAUGUAUCUACCAUUGCACUUGAGGAUCCCACAGUACAAGGGACCGUGGUUCAAAACUGAUCCCGUUGUAGCCAGAGUCCACAUGAGCAAGUUUCUAACAUCCACUCUACUUUUGAAAUUUAAACUUAUAUUUUUUUCUGAUAGCAUGCAAUUGGGGAUAGUGCACAACUUAAGUGUGGGUUAGGGGUGUUAGAAAUAAUUAUUGAUUGGCACAUACUUAAAUGAUCUUCUUGAUCUAUGCAUUGCAUGCUUUUUGUGCAUGGUGCGCUCCCUCUUCAUGGUUGUUGCAAAAAAAAAGGGCAUUUCCUUGUUACAGUUGAGGAAAUAUUGAAUGGCUGCCUCUUUCGAUGCAUGCCCAUCCUAUCUGCAUCCAAAACAUCCUAGACAAAUGGUGGAGGUUGUGCAAAAAAGGUGAUAUUGCUACCUUUUAGGUUUGAGCCAAAAUUUACGAGUUUGUCUGCUGCUAUGUUUUGUUCCCUGUAUGUGUGCU
rnacentral:lncRNA from 1 species